rnacentral:rRNA from 1 species
UACGUAGGGUGCAAGCGUGUCCGGAAUUAUUGGGCGUAAAGAGCUCGUAGGCGGUUCGUCGCGUCGGCUGUGAAAACCUGAGGCUCAACCUCAGGCCUGCAGUCGAUACGGGCGGACUUGAGUACUGCAGGGGGAGACUGGAAUUCCUGGUGUAGCGGUGAAAUGCGCAGAUAUCAGGAAGAACACCCGUGGCGAAGGCGGCUCUCUGGGACGGUACUGACGCUGAGACGCGAAAGCGUGGGGAGCGAACAGG